rnacentral:lncRNA from 1 species
ACUUGCAUGAUUAGACUCAUACACCUUUAGGAAUUUGUCAAAUCUCGCAUUUAAGUCCCUAACAACUUCUGUCAAGUGAGUAACCUGUUGCCACAUAGGUGAUGGUUGCUGCGGCCUGAAACCACCUGUUUGCCCUGAUGGGUUGUUCUGUGUCUAACAAAUACUCGGAUGAUUCUUCCAACCUUGGCUAGAAUUGCCUUGGUUGAAGUUCCCUUGCCUGUACUUUAACUGAUUCCCCAUAUAAUUGGCUUCCUGCUGCAUCCCCUUAGGCAAAGUACAUUGACCAUUGAUACGGUCACCACC